GACGAACGCUGGCGGCGUGCUUAACACAUGCAAGUCGAACGAAAAGACCCUGCUUUUGUGGCGUGCUCGAGUGGCGAACGGGUGAGUAACACGUGAGUAACCUGCCCUUGACUUUCUGAUAACUUCACGAAACUCCGGCUAAUACCCGAUAUGAGCUCCUGCUGCGUGUGGGUGGUUGGAAAAUUUCGGCUGUUGGGGAUGGACUCGCGGCUUAUCAGCUUGUUUGUGGGGUAGUGGCUUACCAAGGCUUUGACGGGUAGCCGGCAUGAGAGGGUGAACGGCCACAUUGGGACUGAGAGAGGGAGCAGACGGCAACGGGAGGCAGUAGUGGGGAAUAUUGCACAAUGGGGGGAAGCCUGAUGAAGAAACGCUGCGUGCGGGAUGACGGCCUUCGGGUUGUAAACCGAUUUGGAAUGUGACGAAGCGUGAGUGACGGUAAUGGGUAAAGAAGCACCGGCUAACUACGUG
rnacentral:rRNA from 1 species